rnacentral:lncRNA from 1 species
GGCCAGUUCAGGUGGAGGAAGCCUGCUUUGGGCUGAAGGCCGGAGGUGGCUCUGGACCAGUAAGUAGCUGGGUGGGACUGGAGCCAUGGGGGUGAAGGAGGAGAUGGGGUUGAAAUGGUGGGUGGGGCCAAGAAGGGACAGAGUUUCAAUAGCUGGCCUGUGAGCGUGGGAGGCUUGGGAAGCUUGUGAGCUAGAAAUUGACCUGGCCCUGUCCUCCCGCAGCAGGUUAGGGACGGAGAGACGGUGGUGAGUGAGGGCUGGCUGGUGGACUGGAGGGACAGCAGUAAGGGUCCAGGCCUCAGCAGUGUCAGAGACAAAGCGGGGAUGAGAGCAGGUGCCACUGGGGAGGUGGAGUUGACAGCAUGGGGGCAGAAUGCUUGUGGGGUAAGAGACGGUGCACCCUGGAUGAUGUCAGCAGUGUAAGCCUGAGCUAGGCAAGUGGUCAUUCUUUCCCUAAUUAUUUAGCACUGACUUCUUGAGUGUCUCCCCUGUGCUAAGAUCUGGGUGCAGUGAAUAAGCUGAGAUGGAGAACACAGGAGGGGUUCUGGUGAGUUCCUGGAAUUGCCUAAGUCUUGUGCUUGCAAAAUCUUCUACUUGACCUCUAGAGAAGGGGAUUUGGAGUGAGGUAGAGAGGCCAGGGGUGGUGCUUUGUGUAUUUAAACAGUGUUGACUAGGUUCCUGCCGCACAUCCCGUAAUACCAGGUUGUGGGGAUAAAUGCAUGCGUGGAGUCUCGCUGCUCGGCCAUGUGGGAGACAAGCAUAUGAAGAAAUGACGGGACAAUGUCAGCGGUGCUACAAGACAGGUGGAAUCAGAGAUUUCUGGCUGACUUGGUGGGUGCUUUGAACCAGGAAAGGACAAGAAAGAGGAUGGGAAGGAGGACUGAUCAAGGGCUGCUCUCCCUCAUCCACAUUCCCACCAGGAAGCUUAGAGGAACCCAUGCAUGCCACCUGGACCCCCUGGAAGGACCUGGCUAAGGCUAGACCAUCUCUUGAGAGGCAAGAGCUCCAGAUUUGAUUAAGAAUUCUUGGCUGGGCAUGGUGCCUCAUGCCUAUAAUCCCAACACUUGGAGGCUGAAGUGGUAGGAUCGCUUGAGCCCAGGAGUUCAAGACCAGCCUGGGCAACAGGGGGAGACCCCCAUCUCAAAAAAAUAUAUAUAUAAUAAAAAAUUAGCAGGGCAUGGUGGCAUGUGCCUGUAGUCCCAGCUACCCAAGAGGCUGAGGCAAGAGGAUGACUGAUAUCUGGGAAGUCAAGGCUGCAAUGAACUGUGAUCACCCCACUGCACUCCAGCCUGGGCGACAGAACGAGACCCUGUCUCAAAAAAAAAAAAAAAAUCUUAAAAGAAACCUCUGUAUUUGAGGAGCCAUUUGGGUAGAAAGCAAAGACCCUGACACUGAGAAAUAGUCUGACCUGAAGGAGCAGAGGGAUGCAAUGCUGGAGGUGACCUACAGUUGGAGAAGCCUCAUCAUGCCAGACCUCGUCCUUCUUCCUUGUGGAAAAUGUUUCCUCUGCUGCUACUGCUCAUGAGACUCUUCCCUCACCCCGUCCCAGGCAACCAAAGGGCUUUCUACUACACCCUUUCUUGCCCCCUGCCUCCCACGUCUGCUGUGCCUUUGUACUUAGCAAUUCUUCUUGUUUGCUCCAUUAUCUUCCAGCCGGAUACAGAGUGAAUAGUUAACCACACUUAGGUCAAAUGGGAUCUUAAUCUUUGUUCCUGCUCCAUCUAAAGAGGCCAGUGUUUUGUGCAUUGCAAGCAGGCUUGGAGUAGUGACUCUUCUCAUUUGCUUGGUAUCUGGCCACCAGUUUCCAGAAUAAUACACAGAUCAGUGCAAAGGUUCAUCAGGCUCUCAGACCUUAGUGCUGUUGGAGAUGGCUUCAGCAGGGGAACUGAUGGAGAAGACUGGUGUUCUCCAUCCUCAGCUUUCUUUGCUUGGAUCACAUACAAGUGUACUUUUGGAAGGGCAAAAAGUGAACAGUGUUGCUCACUGCAGCCAUCUUCUGUGACACAGAUGUACAGUCUGCUGUGAAGAUCUUCUCUCAAGUGGCAGUUGGGGGUCCAUGCCAGAUCAUGAUGCUUCAUGACAGACUAACCAGCUACCAGGGGUGGUGGCGCUUAGUGAGGACCGAGGACCCUCCUCCUCAGUGUGUGCUGAUGACACAUACACGCCUGACAAUAGCUGGAGUCUUCUCUGUUCCUUUUACUCUGUAGCCAACAUACGCAUGACUUAAAACACUUUCUAAAUAUCUGUCAUGGUUCACCCUAGUCCAAAUGCAGAGUCAAAGCUGUUUGUACUUUAUUAUUAUCUCCAAGGGGAAUAGAUGGCUUGGUUUUUGCAAAAAGAAUUAAAGGUUUUGUAUAUUGCAGUUGAUGUGCUUGUACGACCAUUGAGUGACGUCGGUUUCUUCUAAGUAGAGCAACGGGGUGCUUGUGGACAUCUCAGAUUCAUCACAAAAUGAUUGAGGAGAAUCUCUUGAAGAUGUUUAGAGCUAUUGAAAUUUACAGACUGUUGAUGGGCUUUCACCUUCUUUCCUUCCUUGACACACAGUUACAGGCAAUGUAUUCCUUGGAUUCUUAAAGGUGUCAAGGAACAGAGAUCAUAAAUGCUGGUUUAUUCCAGAGUCGCAGUGAUGGUAAGGUAGACAGGAAACAGUCCCAGCCACUGCCUUGCUAAGCCUUUUCAGAAAGCCCAAGGUCAUUCAGCAGACGCAGUAGCACUAGUUGGUUUCCAAGGAUAACAAGAGCAAUCACAUAUGGCCAUCUUGGUCCUCUGUUCAGUAGCAGGGUUCGCUGCCCCUGACUCUAGAACUCUGCUGUUGUGAUGAGCUGAGGGUGACCGACUGUCCCAGUUUGCCCAGAACUGAAGGGUUUCUUGGGAUGAAGGACAUUCAGUGCUAAACCUGGGAUAGUCCUGGGCAAACGAGGACCACUGGUCACCCACCUGGGUGACUCAACGACCCAGCCUCUACUUUGCUACUUAUAUAACAGACUGAUGCUGUUGAUUGGUUUAGCCAAUCUGCAUUUAGAGCUCUUGCCUCUGGUUACUUCUUUGGCCCUCGGACAACCACAGACGGAUGCCAUUGGAUCAGGUACCAAUGCCAACCAAAUCAAUUGUUUCCAGG